UUGGUAACAUUGAUCAACUGCAGCUGAAAACAACACAAGUUGUACUGGUGUCACUGUCCUCUACUAUGCAUCAGUCCUGCAGGACAGGGAUGAAUACUUGUUCUGUUCCCACAUGUAAACAAUAUACAUAUAAUAUCCUGCUUCCCACAGCUAAACUUGUACAAAACUUCAGUUUGUUUGAGAGAACAUAUUUCCACGAGACAAUUCCCCAAAUUAAAGUAAAACUUAUUGGUUCAGGAGGAAAGAUAUACCAAACAUUUGCUUGAAUGAAAACAUCUGCUUUUUCCCUUCUGUGCCUGUUUAUGUCUAUGAACAUGCCAACUGGGAAACCCACUUGCACAAUUCAAAAACCAGAAGUCUCAGCCUGUAUCAUCAGUGAGUCAUACCUUAAUUUAACUAAAUUGACUCUUCUCCCUUCUGUUCCAGAAAUAUGAUUCCCAGUGUUGCCCAACUGACUGCGUGCAGCUAACCAGCCCUCAAUGAAGUCAUAGCAGUCUUUCCACUGACCCCAAUGAACACAGCUGUCAGCAACAGUACCUGCCUCACAUGCUGCUGCCAGCAGGAAGGGCCUUUGGGGCCACUUCAGCCGGGCAAAAACUGUCUUUGUGGCUACUGAACUACCUCACUCUGAAUGUCUUCAUCAGCUGCUGCCGGCUACACCCAGACGAGCCAAACACCACCCGGAAAACCGCAUUCUGGAAGUGUCUGUGUGUGACUCACGGCUGCCCUGCCCACUUGAUACGUGAGUAAAGAACACCUGUUGCUGCUGCCCAUUCAGUGCACCCCUUGAUUGCUGAGCUGUUAGUGCUGCAUCCUCUCUCCCAAGCACCUGCCUGAACUUGCCCAAACUUGCCUGCUGUCGUUUGCCUGGCAGUCUGGGCUCCUUGCUGUCCCUCUAAUCGUAACUGUGCCCUGCCUGCUGGACUCAGGUAUCCCACGGCUUCUCUUCUCAGCUUGACAAAUGGGGCUUGCCUCCACGCUUGAUUUAAUCUGCCUUCUGUGGGAUGCAAGAGCCUGGAAUAGUUCCCUCUUGUGCUGACUUCCUGCCAACCGCAGUGAAAAAAAUAACGGUCUCGGAGAUAACUGUGUUUCUGCAGUUUUCUUUCAUGAAAAGGGACAGCUCCGUAUUCCCCUAGUGAAGAAAGCCUUGCAGUGUGAGUUCACAUAUUACAGAAACCAGAGAAUUAACACGGAAAUGAGACCUUAGAAAUGCCUUAAUAAAAAAAAAAAAAACACUUCUAUGGGCACUGAAGUGCAAAUCCGUAAGGAUAUAGGACACUUUUUCUAGGUAACCACGAGUAUUUAAAUGAGCUUUCCUUUUGUAACAAGCUGGAAACUCUUAAAGGCAAACUGAGAUCAUAACUUAGUAAAUGCAUCUGUAGUAAUUGAAGCAUUCAAAAGAUACUAUUGCAAGAUUUGUAAUAAGAGCAGGAUGGAUUGUAAGAAUAGGCUAAUGGUAAUAAAUUAACGAGAAAAUACUUCAAGUCCUCCCACAUUUUGCAGCAGCAAUUACUAUGACCAGUAAUUUUACAAGCUGUGUUCAAAACAUACAUUUGACUGGUGGGUCCAGUUUCCUGUCCCAUCUCUGCUCUCCUAACGAACAAUUCACAUGUAUCUUUGGGGAAUGGAAGUACCAUUAAGCUGACAGCAAUGAAAUAGCAUAUUUUGAACACAGAUGUUGUUGUACUCUUCCAUUGGCACCUGCAAACCAUACAGCAUUAAACUUUGCAUCCAGACUUAGAACACCUCAUGAUUACAGUCAACACCUUGUUAAACAUGUGCCCUCUGCCCCAUGAAGGAGUCUUUCUGCCAGUCCAGUUUGUGGGUAGGCUAUACUUUUAUACAACAUACUGAAAGUAGUGCAAGUGUCUCCAUAGUUAUUUCAAAUGUUGUGAUUCCCAUUGCAAAAUGUCAGUACUUUCUGAAGCCAUCUGGGUGUUAGUUCUCUUCUUUUGUGUAACAAGCACUACUUCUCUCAGGUAAACUUUGCUAUACAAGAAAAAAGUUAUCCACUUCCUUUUACCACAAAGUUACA